GUCCAGGGUAGCCUAGUGGGCAUGGCAUCUGCUCGGUAAGCGGAACACUGUGGGUUUCGUUCCCAUCCUGGACA